rnacentral:rRNA from 1 species
GACGAACGCUGGCGGCGUGCUUAACACAUGCAAGUCGAACGGAAAGACCCUGCUUUUGUGGGGUGCUCGAGUGGCGAACGGGUGAGUAACACGUGAGUAACCUGCCCUUGACUUUGGGAUAACUUCAGGAAACUGGGGCUAAUACCGGAUAGGAGCUCCUGCUGCAUGGUGGGGGUUGGAAAGUUUCGGCGGUUGGGGAUGGACUCGCGGCUUAUCAGCUUGUUGGUGGGGUAGUGGCUUACCAAGGCUUUGACGGGUAGCCGGCCUGAGAGGGUGACCGGCCACCUUGGGACUGAGAUACGGCCCAGACUCCUACGGGAGGCAGCAGUGGGGAAUAUUGCACAAUGGGCGGAAGCCUGAUGCAGCAACGCCGCGUGCGGGAUGACGGCCUUCGGGUUGUAAACCGCUUUCGCCUGUGACGAAGCGUGAGUGACGGUAAUGGGUAAAGAAGCACCGGCUAACUACGUG